rnacentral:rRNA from 1 species
AACGAACGCUGGCGGCGUGCCUAACACAUGCAAGUCGAACGGAUUUGAGGGGCUUGCUCCUCAAGUUAGUGGCGCACGGGUGAGUAACGCGUAGAUAAUCUGCCCGACGAUCCGGGAUAACAGUUCGAAAGGACUGCUAAUACCGGAUAAGCCCACGUGGUCUUUGGACCGUGCGGGAAAAGGGGGGGACCUUCGGGCCUUCUGUCGUCGGAUGAGUCUGCGUACCAUUAGCUAGUUGGUAGGGUAAAGGCCUACCAAGGCUACGAUGGUUAGCUGGUCUGAGAGGAUGAUCAGCCAACCUGGAACUGAGACACGGUCCAGACUCCUACGGGAGGAAGCAGUGGGGAAUUUUGCGCAAUGGGCGAAAGCCUGACGCAGCAACGCCGCGUGAGUGAUGAAGGCUCUCGGGUCGUAAAGCUCUGUCAGGGGGAAAGAAGUGUAUUGUGGCUAAUAUCCACGAUACUUGACGGUACCCCCAAAGGAAGCACCGGCUAACUCCGUGCCAGCAGCCGCCGUAACAC